UACGUAGGGUGCGAGCGUUGUCCGGAAUUAUUGGGCGUAAAGGGCUCGUAGGCGGUUUGUCGCGUCGGGAGUGAAAACGCCGUGCUUAACACGGCGCUUGCUUUCGAUACGGGCUAGCUAGAGUGUGGUAGGGGAGAUCGGAAUUCCUGGUGUAGCGGUGAAAUGCGCAGAUAUCAGGAGGAACACCGAUGGCGAAGGCAGGUCUCUGGGCCACUACUGACGCUGAGAAGCGAAAGUGUGGGGAGCGAACAGG
rnacentral:rRNA from 1 species